rnacentral:rRNA from 1 species
UACGUAGGUGACAAGCGUUGUCCGGAUUUACUGGGCGUAAAGAGCGCGCAGGCGGUCGUUCAAGUCGAGUGUGAAAGCCCCCGGCUCAACUGGGGAGGGUCAUUCGAUACUGAUCGACUCGAAGGCAGGAGAGGGAAGUGGAAUUCCCGGUGUAGUGGUGAAAUGCGUAGAUAUCGGGAGGAACACCGGUGGCGAAGGCGGCAUCCUGGACCGACACUGACGCUGAGGAGCGAAAGCCAGGGGAGCAAAGCGGG